CCCGAAGCGGCCGCCGGUCCGAGUGUCAGGUGAACUGAACUUCAGAGCGAGCAUGGAGGUCAUACAGACGAAGACACUAGAUGUUCAGUAGAUGCUGAAAAAAAGAUGUCACCCAGUGUUACAAAGCAACUCUUUCAAUGGACCCAAACUGGACCUGCAAAAAUGAUACAUAAAAGACAUCAUGCCUAAAUGACUUUGCGCAGUGGGAGUAGCACAAACCAAAAGAUUUAUCUUAAAAAUGUAUCUUUCCGCUGCUACUGUGUCCACACUUAUUGCUCUACAGCCAUCACUUUACCCUAAAACGUAGCCAUCGUUCUCCACUCUCCAAUGAUGUGUCUCUCAAAGCUAAGCAAUGUAAACUUUUAACAUUUUAACAUUAACAUUGUGGAUCCAAGUAAAGGGAGUAUCAUCUAACUGACCCAUAGAGUUUGUCUUAACAGCAGGAAAGACUACAAAUUUAAACUUGUAUUUCAGCUCAUUUGGCUCAUUUCAGCACAAUCAGCUUUUUCCAAACCAUUCAGCUUUCAGCAUUCAUUAAUCCUGCAUUUUCCUCAGGAAAAGCAUUCUCUAGAUUUAUAUACCAGUCUCAGUUACUCUUGUUGAGAUGUUAAGAGUAAGAAUAAGUUCAGAUUCUCUUAAAAAUAUUAACACUAAUAUGUCAUGUUAACAACACUUACUGCACUUGUGGAGUUAUUUGGAGAAUCCUAAGAGACUCUUAGAAACAUCUGAAGGAAAAAUAUUCUUUAAUCGUGGAUGCAGGCUCAUGCAGAAAUAUUGAUGAAUUAUUUGAUUUGAGUUUUUAGAGUGAGAACAGACAGAUGGAAUUCUCAAAGUCAGUCAGUGUCUCUGGGUCUGACACAACAACAGCACAGAGGUUUGAGUUUUUGGAAGAAGCCCUGUUCUUUCUACUUUUUCUUGCUGAUUUUAAGGUCUUCAGACUUCUUUGUCAUUUUGAUCACAGAUACAGCUGGCUCAGACAUGAACUGAGCUUCAGAAGGAGGUUCCUCACAGGGAAGAACAUCAAGAACUUGAAGAAUUUCAGAAGGAGGCUCCUCACAGGGAAGAACAUCUGACAUUGGUGGACUUUGAGAACAGGGCUUGAGAUCUUGCACAUGAUGGUCUGGACCAUGUCAUCUCUGAUGGAGCGAGAGAAGAUGGCCUGGCUUUCCAUUGCUGUUACAGUUUUGGAGACUUGAUCCAAAGUGGCCUUUGUGACACUGGUGGAGAGGAUGUUCAGAUUCUGGGAGGCCAUGUUCAAGAGGAGGCAAGGAGGAAGCUCGCAGAGACCCUGAAAGAUGCAGGGAACUACUUCUAUCACCACUUCCUGUGCGGUGAGCAGUUAGGAGCACUGUGCUUCCUGCUGCUUUUCUGUAAGGAUUUCAAUGUAACUUUUUACCAUGCUGAGGAGUUUAGGUGUUCUGCAGAAUAAAGUUAUAAGGAUUAUCUUUUAAAUACAUUUAAAGCAUCACAGAUAUAUUGAAACACUGUAGCUGGACUAUUAAUAAUUCAAACUCUCAAAGCCUUCAAAAGAAAACAAAACAGAGGUCUUCUCUCAGCAUUACACUUCAUCACAAACAGACUUUUAAGUAUGAGGUGGAAGUCUGUAGGUUUCACAGUAACUCACUGCUCUCCGAGUGUCUCUUUGCUCUUCUCCACCAAGAGAUCUCGCAGAUCUUCAGCAUUGAUUUGUGAUGGGAUUUGAUUUUCCUGCUGAAGUCUAAGGAAAUCCAUCAUCAUUGCAACCUAAAAAUAAAAGAAGACAUUUAAUCACCACCACUCUCAGGUCCUCAGAAAUUACCUGAUAUUUUAUGUCAGUUGUGGUUUGGAUGGAUCUGGGUCUUACCUGAGCCCUGCAGAUCUUCACAGCCAUGUUGUAAACAGAUGUGUUGAACAACAUCUGUCAAAGAAAUACGAAGUUACUCAUUGUUACUUCAGUUGAUUUUCAGUUUGUCAGCUUUUAAAACUACAUGAAAUACUUCAAACUGUUAAAAGAAAACACUUUAAUU